rnacentral:rRNA from 1 species
CGCAAGCCUGACGGAGCAAUACCGCGUGGGGGAUGACGGUCUGUGGAUUGUAAACCCCUUUUCUCUAGGAAGAAGUUCUGACGGUACUAGAGGAAUCAGCAUCGGCUAACUCCGUGCCAGCAGCCGCGGUAAGACGGAGGAUGCAAGCGUUAUCCGGAAUUAUUGGGCGUAAAGCGUCCGUAGGCGGUUUAUCAAGUCUGUCGUUAAAGACUGCAGCUUAACUGUGGGCGAGCGGUGGAAACUGAUUAACUAGAGUGUGGUAGGGGUAGAGGGAAUUCCCAGUGUAGCGGUGAAAUGCGUAGAUAUUGGGAAGAACACCAGUGGCGAAGGCGCUCUACUGGGCCACAACUGACGCUGAGGGACGAAAGCUAGGGGAGCG